AGAGUUUGAUCAUGGCUCAGGAUGAACGCUAGCUACAGGCUUAACACAUGCAAGUCGAGGGGAAACGACAUCGAAAGCUUGCUUUUGAUGGGCGUCGACCGGCGCACGGGUGAGUAACGCGUAUCCAACCUGCCCACCACUUGGGGAUAACCUUGCGAAAGUAAGACUAAUACCCAAUGACGUCUCUAGAAGACAUCUGAAAGGGAUUAAAGAUUUAUCGGUGAUGGAUGGGGAUGCGUCUGAUUAGCUUGUUGGCGGGGUAACGCCACCAAGGCUACGAUCAGUAGGGGUUCUGAGAGGAACGGUCCCCCANAUUGGAACUGAGACACGGUCCAAACUCCGUACGGGAGGCA
rnacentral:rRNA from 1 species